UACGAAGGUGGCAAGCGUUGUUCGGAUUUACUGGGCGUACAGGGAGCGUAGGCGGUUGGGUAAGCCCUCCGUGAAAUCUCCGGGCCUAACCCGGAAAGGGCGGAGGGGACUGCUCGGCUAGAGGAUGGGAGAGGAGCGCGGAAUUCCCGGUGUAGCGGUGAAAUGCGUAGAGAUCGGGAGGAAGGCCGGUGGCGAAGGCGGCGCUCUGGAACAUUUCUGACGCUGAGGCUCGAAAGCGCGGGGAGCAAACAGG
rnacentral:rRNA from 1 species